AUUGAACGCUGGCGGCAUGCCUUACACAUGCAAGUCGAACGGCAGCGGGGGAGAAGCUUGCUUUUCCUGCCGGCGAGUGGCGAACGGGUGAGUAAUACAUCGGAACGUGCCCUGUAGUGGGGGAUAACUAGUCGAAAGAUUAGCUAAUACCGCAUACGACCUGAGGGUGAAAGUGGGGGACCGCAAGGCCUCAUGCUAUAGGAGCGGCCGAUGUCUGAUUAGCUAGUUGGUGGGGUAAAGGCCUACCAAGGCGACGAUCAGUAGCUGGUCUGAGAGGACGAUAAGCCACACUGGGGCUGAGACACGGCCCAGACUCCUACGGGAGGCAGCAGUGGGGAAUUUUGGACAAUGGGCGAGAGCCGGAUCCAGCAAUGCCGCGUGUGUGAAGAAGGCCUUCGGGUUGUAAAGCACUGUUGUCCGUAAAGAAAUGGCUCUGGUUAAUACCGGGGGUCGAUGACGGUACCGGAAGAAUAAGGACCGGCUAACUACGUGCCAGCCGCCGCAGUAA
rnacentral:rRNA from 1 species